CGCGAGGAGGAGGGGGCCGUGUGGAAACGGUGCGGGGCUUUGGGUUGGAUAUUAGGAAGAAGUUUUUCACACAGAGGUGGUGCCACUCUGGAACAGGUUGCCCAAGGAGGCUGUGGAUGCCCCAUCCCUGGAGGCAUUCAAGGCCACGCUGGAUGUGGUUCUGGGCAGCCUGGUCUGGAGGUUGGCAACCCUGCACAUAGCAGGGAGGUUGAAAGUCAGUGAUCAUUGUGGUCCUUUUCAACCAAGCCCAUUCUACGAUUCUAUGCACUAGAUUAGGCUGGCCAUGGUUCCUAUCCAACCUAGCCUCUUUUUAUGCCUUACAACUUAGCCACUUUGUACGUCUCUUUUCAGAAAGAAAACAAAGAUAUACCGAUUCAGACUACUUUAACACUUCCAUGCAAAUGCACUCUUCUAAUAUUUUUUAAAUGGAUCUUUUUGUUUUGUUUUUGCUCUGAGAAUUCUUCCUUCCACUCUAACACAUUGGUAAAAUGAAAGGCUGUCUAGUACUGCAUUAAUGGGUAUCAUUCAUGCCAGUUCACUAGUAUGGAUGGAUACUAUACUCCCUGAAAUGAAUGGUCAUUAGAUAUUUCCUCAGAAAUCUUCAUUUUUUCACAGUUAUUCAAGUAAUUUAUUUUUUACCAAGUCAGCAGCUAUAUAUCUGCUGAUGGAAAGAGAAUCCAUGUUCUGGAAAAGAAAACAUGUGUGCAGCGAUUUUUUCAAGAUUUUGGUCACAAGCCCAAGAUCACUCAGCAACAGGUCAAGCUCUCAAAAUAUGGAACACGACACUAUUUUGCUGUUCAUGCACUCAGUCUCUGAGCAGCCCAGGGAACAAAUGCUGACUUGCCUGACCUGGAGAGUGAAAAAUGAAGAUGGAUCAAUUAAGAUAACUAGACAGCUUGUGAUGCUUAUCAAUAAAGUACUGGCAGAUCUCUACUACAUGUAUGGAGAAAGACAUUUCAAAGGUUAAGAACAAAGCCAGUUUGGAUAGAUGCAUAGGCUGGGGAUUGUAAAAAUACAUAGUCAUUUGUUAAGAUUUUUCUUAUUAUGCAGUUGUCGUGUUUUUUUUCCUUGGAAUUCUCUGACAAUUUGUGCACAAUAAAGAAUUCUUUGGUUUGUUAUUCUCAGUGGGUAGAGUCUGAAAUUUGCUCUAUUUUGGAGGACUGAGAUGGCAAGUAAAUGACUGCUAUUAAAACAAAUAUCUGGAGACCAAAAAACAACUUUUUAAUCAUGUUUUUUGAUUCCUCUUGUCUGUUUUUCUGGAUUGUAAAUUAUUUAUUCACAUCCAUUUCUACUAUAUAUAAAUCUGAAUCUUCUCUGCCCUGUGUCUGAACUAUAGAUUUAUCAUAACGUUUAUUUUUGACCCUUAGCAUGCUUGUAUACAAAAUUAUGUAGACAUUGCCUGAUUUUGUAUUAUGUAUUAAAACCAGCAAAAUGUGCUAAUUUCUCUAGGAUUAAAAAGAAAAUCAGUGUGCUUCAAUUAAUUAACAGAUUCUUAUUUUAA
ensembl:lncRNA